rnacentral:lncRNA from 1 species
AGGGCCUCCUCAUCUGGAUGCUUCCCUAGACCAAGAAGUGGCCCAGGUGGUGCCCAGGGGACAGGGAGUGGGCAAUAAAAGACAAUGGGGUGUAGGUGAUAGGGUGUAGAUGAUCAGGGUAUAGGUGAUCAGGAUGUAGGUGAUGGGGUGUAGAUGACUGGGGUAUAGAUGAUUGAAGUGUAGGUGAUGGGGUAUAGAUGAUCGAGGUGUAGGUGAUGGGGUGUAGGUGAUGGGGUAUAGAUGAUUGAGGUGUAGGUGAUGGGGUGUAGGUGAUGGGGGUCAAGGUGAUCAAGGUGUUGGUGAUGGGGUGUUGGUGAUCGGGGUGUAAGUGAUGAGGUAUAGGUGGUGGGGUGUAGAUGAUUGGGGUGUAGGUGAUGGGGUGUAGAUGAUUGAGGUGUAGGUGAUGGGGUAUAGGUGAUUGGGGUGUAGGCAAUGGGGUGUAGGUGAUUGGGGUGUAGGCAAUGGGGUGUAGGUGAUUGGGGUCAAGGAGAUAGAGGUGUAGGUGAUGGGGUGUUGGUGAUUGGGGUGUAGGUGAUCAGGGUGUAGGUGAUUGGGGUGUAGGUGAUCGGGGUGUAGGUGACCAGGGUAUAGGUGAUCAGGGUGUAGGUGAUGGGAUGUAGGUGAUCAGGGUCAAGGUGAUUGAGGUGUAGGUGAUGGGAUGUUGGCAACCAGGGUGUAGGUGAUCAGGAUGUAGGUGAUGGGGUGUAGACGAUCAGGGUGUAGGUGAUGGGCUGUUGCUGACCAGGGUGUAGGUGAUCAGGGUGUAGGUGAUCCGAACUUCCUACUCAAUUCAGGCAACAGCUCCCAGCCUGAGGCAAAUACCCCCCGAGGCAGUCAGGGUCUCACCUCCCAUGGCUCUGACGCAGGCCUCCAAGGUGAGGAGAUGGAGGUAGCAGAGGUCACUUCACUCAGCUGUCACACACCCUGAGGGAACUCCUGUCACUGUUAUCCCACCUGCAAGUGAGGAGCCAGCAUUUCUCAUGCUCCAGGGUUGGCCACAGAGCCCAUUCAAGGGAGGGAGAAGAGCCUUCGGCCAGCGCAUCCUAACCGCAGAAAGCCAAGACCUCUGCAGAAAAAGAGACCAGGCCCAUAAAAAGAGAUCCAUGAGUUGAGUUCCCUGCCAUGCCACCCCCAGGCAUCUCUGCCCACCAGCCUGCAUGAGCCAGCCCCUCAGUGCAGGUUUUUCCAAUUGGCCGUUUGUUCUUCCACCCAACACUCAAGAUUUGCUUCUCAGCCUGGACAACAUAGCAAAACCCCAUCUCUACAAAAAAUACAAAAAUUAGCUGGGCAUAGUGGCACACACCUAUAGUCCCAGCUACUCGGGAGGCUGAAGUGGGAAGAUUACCUGAGCCUGGGAGGUCAAGGUUGCAGUGAGCCAUGAUCAUGCCACUGUACUCCAGCCUGGGUGACAGAGUGAGAACUUGUCUCAAAAACAAAAAAAGAGAGGAAGAUCUGCUUCUUCAAACCCACACAACUAAUAUAAAGUAAUCAACCUCCCCACCUCAAUAACCUGAAGUUAAACAUCACACAAUAAGCCCUGAACAGAGAGCUGUAGGUCAAUGUUCCAUUUUGCUUUUAAAAGCUUCACAAGAACAUUUCAUUUAUUAAAAUAGUUUCUGUAAACUCUUUCAGAAUAACAAAAUUCACUUGCCUUGCUUAAACAGCAUUUCAAGUAGAAGUAUUUUUAUUUCAAGGCACCAUAAAAUGAUGAUCUCUCUAAGAAAUACCUCUCCUUC